rnacentral:rRNA from 1 species
AAUUCUGGCGGUGCCAGGAUGAGACCCCCCGCCUAUUCCAGCUUGUUGGUGGGGUGAUAGCCCUACCAAGGCGACGACCGGUAACCGCCCCUAAGAGGGUGACCGCCCACACUGGGACUGAGACACGGGCCAAGACUCUCUACGGGAGGCACCACUGCGGAAUCUUCCGCAAAGGGCGAAAAACCCCAAGCAGCAAAACGCCGCGUGGGGGACAACGCCCUUCGGGUUGUAAACCUCUUUCGACAUAGAACAAGAUGCCCCUUUUGGGGCCGACGCUAGGUGUAAAACAAGCACCGGAACUAACUACGUGCCAGCAGCCGCGCUAAUACGUGAGGGUGAGAGCGUUGCCCAGAUCUAUUGGCGCGUAAAGAGCUCCUAGGCGGUUAUGUUUCGCGUCUAUCGUGAAAACCGGGAGCAUAACUCCUGGCUUGCGGUUGGAUAAGGGCAGACUCGAGUUUUCCGUAGGGGAGACUCGAGAUCCCCUGGUGUGAGCGGUGAAAUACGCAGAUAUCAUGGAGGAACACCGGUCGCGAAAACGUGGUUCUCUGGGCCGAUACUGACGCUUGAGGAGCGAAAGCGUGGGGAGCGAACAGGAUGUAGAUACCCUAGGUAGUCCACGCCGUAAACAUUGGGCGAUAGGUAGUGGGGAUGGGUUCCACUGUUUCUUCCUGCAGUAUGCUAACGCAUUAAGCGAUACCCGCCUCAGGAGUAAUUCGGCCUGCAAGGCUAAAACUCAAAGGAAUUCACGGGGGCCCGCAUCAUAGCGUUGCGGAGCAUGUGGAUUAAUUCGAUGCAACGCGAAGAACCUUACCUGGGUUUGACAUGCACUAGACAGCCCCUGAGAGGGGGUUUCCCUUGUGGUUGGUGUACAGGUGGUGCAUGGCUGUCGUCAGCUCGUGUCGUGAGAUGUUGGGUUAAGUCCCGCAACGAGCGCAACCCUUGCCCUAUGUUGCCAGCGGGUAAUGCCGGGGACUCGUGGGGGACUGCCGGGGUCAACUCGGAGGAAGGUGGGGAUGACGUCAAGUCAUCAUGCCCCUUAUGCCCAGGGCUUCACACAUGCUACAAUGGCCGGUACAGAGGGCUGCGAGAUCGUGAGGUUGAGCGAAUCCCUUAAAGCCGGUCUCAGUUCGGAUCGGGGUCUGCAACUCGACCCCGCGAAGUCGGAGUCGCGUUUAAUCGCAGAUCAGCACAGGAGCGGGGAACAAGGUCCCGGUAGAGUUUGAUCCUGGCUCAGGAAGUCGUAACAAGGUAACCACAGAGUUUGAUCAUGGCUCAGGAAGUCGUAACAAGGAACUCGUGAGUGUCGAGUAAUAUCCAACCA